rnacentral:rRNA from 1 species
GAUGAACGCUGGCGGCGUGCUUAACACAUGCAAGUCGAACGGAGCACCCUUGAAUGAGGAUUCGUCCAAAGGAUAGGAAUGCUUAGUGGCGGACGGGUGAGUAACGCGUGAGGAACCUGCCUUGGAGUGGGGAAUAACAGUUAGAAAUAGCUGCUAAUACCGCAUAAUGCAACUAAGUCGCAUGGCUUUGGUUGCCAAAGAUUUAUCGCUCUGAGAUGGCCUCGCGUCUGAUUAGAUAGUUGGCGGGGUAACGGCCCACCAAGUCGACGAUCAGUAGCCGGACUGAGAGGUUGGCCGGCCACAUUGGGACUGAGACACGGCCCAG